rnacentral:rRNA from 1 species
GACGAACGCUGGCGGCGUGCUUAAAACAUGCAAGUCGAACGAACAGGCCAGGCUCUUGGGGGUUUCUCGAGUGGCGAGAGGGUGAGUAACACAUGUGUAACCUGCCCUUGACUGAGGGAUAACUUUAGGAAACUAGGGCUAAUACAGGGGAGGAUCUCCUGCUGCAGGGAGGGGGUUGGAAAGUUUCGGCGGUUGGGGCUGGACUAGCGGCAUAUCAGCUUGUUGGUGGGGUAGUGGCUUACCAAGGCUUUGACGGCUAUCCGGCCUGAGAGGGUGACCGGCCACAUUGGGGCUGAGGGACGGGCCAGAAUGCUACCGGAGGCAGCAGGCGGGAAUAUUGCAGAGUGGGCCGACGACUGAUGUGGCAACGCCGCGUGCGGGAAGACGGCCUUCGAGUUGUAAACCGAUUUCGCCUGUGACGAAGCGUGAGUGACGGUACUGGGUAAAGAAGCCCCGGCUAACUACGUG